rnacentral:tRNA from 1 species
ACUUGGCUGGCUCAGUUGGUGGAGCAUGAGACUCUUGAUCUUAGGGUUGUGGGUUCAAGCCCCAUGUUGGAUG